GGCAGGUGGGGCCGCACCUGCGCGACAGCCCGCCGCUUCCCUCCGCUCCCUUCGCCGCGCCUCGCGUGCUAGCGGUGCCCUUGUGAGCCACUGCGUUCUCCAAGGCCAGAACGGGACAGGUACGCUCGGGUGACAGGGACCGUACGUGCGCUGAGCCCGCGGCUGGCAGCCAGGGGGGCGGCUGGAACGUGGGAGGACACGCUGUCCCUUAAUACACACGCGUGCUUUGGAUGGGUGUGUCAUCUAUUUGUGGACAUACGGGCCCUCACUGGGUUUAGCCUCUUAAAAAGUUGAAGAAUUAAGAUGCUUACCUUUGGAAGGGAAGUGUAACUGAGAACACGUUUUAGUGAUAGAAUGUGUUGCCUCUGGUCUGUUUCUUGGGUGAACCCAUGGUGCAGUUUCCAAGCCACGUCUGAAUUCCGCAUGCCCCCUACAUACUUCAGGCAGUAUUCCCCUAAGGCCUAAGUGAGAAAUACUGACUCAAUACUAAAGAUUAAAUAGUAUCCAUAGGAUACAAAAAUUACCCCAAACAAAAACCUAACCUAGACCUCAAGGACCAUGAAAAGACUGUAACAACUUAAAGAAAAAAUAGGACCUCAAACUACAGAGAAGCUUUCAUUUUCCAAAUAGGCAAAUUAUUUGUAGUGCAAUCCGCUUGUUUUUGUGGGGGCUAAAGCGGGUGUAGAGUUGCUUGGCUAUUCUGUGGAGGCAGCUAGAUAAGUCCUGCUAACAUGUUAUGGAUUUUGUAAGCGGGCUCAAUAACUCCCUUUGGUUUAAAAGGUCCAAAACAUGUAUUUUAUCAUGUAAUUUGAGAACAAAUGAGAACAAGCAGAAUGCCUGCCUCCCCCGAUAUGUUCCAGGAGUGUGUCUAUGUAGAUGUCAAUUACGUAAGUGCAAGGCCUUGGAAAACAACAGCCCUGCAGGUGGCUUCAAGGCUUCAAGAUUUUUCAGAAAAGCAUAUUUCUUUUAUUUUCUUUAAGAAAAAUACAAAAUAAAAAUAACAGCAACCACAGCCGCAAGCAUUACCCUCCAACCUCCUGCCCCUGUCUUGCUUCUGAGUCAUAAAUCAUGAAAAAGAGAGAGACAAUGACUCCAGUUUUCCUGCCUUUAACAACUGGAACUGCUAAUGCCAAAAA
ensembl:lncRNA LETR1 lymphatic endothelial transcriptional regulator lncRNA 1